rnacentral:rRNA from 1 species
CAGUAGCCGCGGGAAUACGUAGGUGGCAAGCGUUGUCCGGAAUUAUUGGGCGUAAAGGGCUCGCAGGCGGUUUCUUAAGUCUGAUGUGAAAGCCCCCGGCUCAACCGGGGAGGGUCAUUGGAAACUGGGAAACUCGAGUGCAGAAGAGGAGAGUGGAAUUCCACGUGUAGCGGUGAAAUGCGUAGAGAUGUGGAGGAACACCAGUGGCGAAGGCGACUCUCUGGUCUGUAACUGACGCUGAGGAGCGAAAGCGUGGGGAGCGAACAGGAUUAGAUACCCGCGUAGUCCCUGUCUCUUAUAC